CAACGACUGCCGGGUGCGUGACUGAACGCAUUUAUAAUUGAGCCAACACUUGAAUUGAGGGAGGCUGAUGCCGAUUUCAGUGCGGCUCCCUACGCGGGAAGCCGCCGGAGGAUGAGGCUUAGAUGCAUCGAAAGAUGUAGAAGGCCACCCACCUGUUUGAAACAGGUUCAAUUCACGCGUUUGGAACGGCUCAGGCGGUCGCUCG
rnacentral:other from 2 species